rnacentral:snoRNA from 10 species
CCACAUGCGGCUGAUGACAGCACUUCUGCUGAGACGCUGUGAUUGCUCUGUCCAAAGUAAACGCCCUGACGCACUGUGG